rnacentral:rRNA from 1 species
CUACGGGCGGCAGCAGUGAGGAAUAUUGCACAAUGGGGGAAACCCUGAUGCAGCAACGCCGCGUGGAGGAUGACGCAUUUCGGUGUGUAAACUCCUUUUAUCAGAGAAGAAAAUGACGGUAUCUGAUGAAUAAGCUCCGGCUAACUCCGUGCCAGCAGCCGCGGUAAUACGGAGGGAGCAAGCGUUACUCGGAAUCACUGGGCGUAAAGGACGCGUAGGCGGGUUUUCAAGUCAGGUGUGAAAUCCAAUGGCUCAACCAUUGAACUGCACUUGAAACUGGGAACCUAGAGUAUGGAAGGGGCAGAUGGAAUUAGUGGUGUAGGGGUAAAAUCCGCAGAUAUCACUAGGAAUACCUAAAGCGAAAGCGAUCUGCUGGGACAUUACUGACGCUGAGGCGUGAAAGCGUGGGGAGCAUACAGGAUUAGAUACCCGCGUAGUC